UAGCCAGCAUUGACCUGAUCCUUGUAGAAGCCUAGCUUCAAUGGACUCUGUCCCAAUGCUCAUCCUAGACUCUCCAAUAGAUAAAAAUAAACUCCCUAAGAGCUUUAUCCUUAUCCAGGCAGAGGUGCUCCCGCUUUCUAGGACUCUCGUCCCUUAUCCGCUCAUCCCGGAUUCCGGUAUCUUCGCAGAUAAUCUCGGCCUAGCCGAGAUUACCUCGGCGUCAUGACCUGGACACGUGGCACCUCGGCUGGCACUUCGGUGCCACCUUGGCCGCGUGUUGUCAUUCAAAAAAUAUGUUCCCACAAUAUCAAAAAAAAAAUAUCUCAACAUCCUCGAUAAAUUCUGACAGCCAGAAUAGAGUAUCUGACAUUAAUUAAACAUCAUAUCUCAGCAUCAUCCUAAAGUUCUAAUAUAGUUAUGUUAUGUGCAUAACAAUCCUGUUUUUUGAUGAGCAAAUUAAGUAAACCAUGAUUGUGUAGGCAAGAUCUCUUUAUCUCUUGGAUUGACAGGCCUAUGAGAAGCACAAACACUUCUAAGAAGGCACCGUAUUCAUGUUCAUGUCCAUGUCCGACACUUGGUCUCUAAAUAUCAAAUGCAAUGACUGUUGCUGCUAUAAAGAGUUCUUACUAUUGAAGAAACCUAAAAAGCAUCGCUAAUCUCCAUGCUCCCUCCAACAAAGUAGCAUGCUGACACAUUGGCGGAUUAUGUACAACCUUACCCUUUUCUCUUUGAGAGUUCUUCUCCCAGGAUUUAUUACCAAAAGGACAAGGGGGUCACAGAACCGUUUGCAUUUCUGAUAAUCUGUUUUCAAACUGAAUUCACACCUGAUCUUGCCAAGGCAAUGUGGUCCACCUUGUUUGCAUCAUUGUCAUUGGUUCAGAAAUUUUGGUGAAUGUGUCCAAAAAGAGCACCAACUCAACACAUUGACAUGUAGUCAUGGCAUGAUAGAGCCGGAUGAGUGGAAUUGAUUUGUCCCACUAUGGUCAGUUGUGUGGGAAAUACGGUUGGUUCCAACCAUCUCCAUUUGCACUGUCUCAUUAGUCAAGAGCAAAACAUGCACAUCCCAUACUGAUGCUUUGGAAAUAAUUUUGUCCACAAGGCUGUGCAAGGCAAACUCCUGAUCCUAUUUAUUCCUUGGAGCAACUCUAGUGAGCUGUUAUAAUGGCUGCUAUUUUCGUAUCAAAUUUGACACAAAGUUUGAAUGCCAUUUGUGCCAACUCAAUUCACCCAAGAGAGAGCUUUAAUUAAGUGGUUUAGAUGUGAGAUGCUUAAGUCUAAUAGUUGAGAUGCUUAAGUCUAAUAUUUAGAAAUAAACAAUGAUCUGAAUGUGCGGAAGUGGUACUUGUACCCGUGGAAUUACAUUACGAUAUUGUAAGAUGUUAAAUUAUAAGAAAAUUCUAUACUACGUACUUUCAAAAUGU